rnacentral:tRNA from 1 species
GCCUGGGUGGCUCAGCCGGUUGAGCGUCUGACUUCGGCUCGGGUCAUGAUCUCGCAGUUUGCGAAUUCGAGCCCCGCUUCGGGCU